CUACUGACCUGGACUGCCAGUGUAUCUGUGCAGUGUUUGUGAGUGGACUGAGUUGCCGCUGCUGACCUGUGAACUGAACAAUGAAAUUUCCAGACAAUGCUGAUGGGAGUUGCUCCAAAGAACCAUUUCUAAACAGGUUCACUUCCACUAUCUGAACCCCAGUACUUGGGGUUCUGUCUUCAAGGCUGAUUUCAUAAGAUCAUAAGGUCACAGGGACGAUCUAAAGUGUAGGUGUUUGCUGUCUGUGAGAUACAGUAUACCUACCAUAUCUACUGGUGCUUACAAGGAGUUCAACCCACCUUUGGUCCCUGACCUGGUGUUUUCUAAGUCCCCUGAAGGCUCUCUAUCUCCCAUUGCUCAGACAGAUCCAACAGAGUGACAGAGACCAGCAUGUUUAACCGAGAAUACUGUAUUUUCCUCAAGGACUGCAAAUCCAAGAUGGAGAUGCCAGCAAGGGUGGUUUCAGAGGAGACUUCUCUUUAAGAUCACGUGGCUGCCAUUCUUGUGUCUCUGAUUAGUCAUUUGGGAACUCAGUGAGGACCUCUUGCUGCAAAGGACAGUUUGGAGUUGUCUGCUUGUUUUAAUGCUUACUACGUGCUGGGAUGAUGUGUGCUUGUUUGUUUUUAAGAGGCUCCUAAUCUUACUCUCUGAUCUUCAGCCAGUUCCUCUCACGAUUGGCUUGAAGGGUACAGCCACCCACAGGACACCCAAACCCAGAUCUGCUGUGUUCAUCUGCAAAGCCUAAAUCAAUGAAGCCUUGUACACCAGUGUAUCAUCAAAAAUACAUGAGCAAAGCUGUUUGCCAAAUACAUCACUGACAAGAUUUAGCCGUUGCUUAAUUGCUUUGAUCUUUGCUAGUUUCUCUAGAGAAAGUUCCAAAACCUAUUGUCCUGGAAAGCACUUUAUAUUGGACUCUUUUGCACAAAUAUUGGGUGAGACUUAUCUAAGCUCUUCUGCAUACUGGAGCAUCAUCUAGAAAUCUUCAAAGGCUUUCUGACCAGUAGAAAUGAAGAGGUUCCUUUCAGACAUUGCCAAAGAUGUCAGAAGGAUCUUUGGACAAAAGGGAUUUGUCAGUCAGACACUGUAUAUUUUAAGUUUGUGUUUAUAAUAGUUUCAACUUUAACACAAUUUUCAUUAUAGCCAGAAUCUGAAUUCCAAGCACAAUUAUACUUAAUUUUGAAUGUUAGAAGAAUCUUGUGUUUGAAAUAAUCUCUGUCUAUAUUUUUCUGGUUAAUACAAAAAUGUUUCCUCUUCAGUAUUUACCAGAGUUUGGAAUGAGAGUGACUGUUCCCCAUAGACUCAAAUAUUUGAAUGUUUGAUUGUCACUUGGUAGACUAUUCAGGAAGAAUUAGGAGGAUAGCCUUGUUGGAGGAGUUGUAUCCCUGAGGAUGGGCUUUGAGUUUUCAAAAUCCCACUCCAGGCCUGGUCUUGUAUUUUUUCUGACUCCUGCCUUCUGACAGGACAUAAGCUCUCAGCUACUGCUCCAAGACCACAUCGCCAAUGCUUCCUACUCUGAUUAUCUAAAACUGUAAGCGAGCCCCUAAUUCAUGCUUUCUUCUGUCAGCUUCCUUGAUCAUGGGAUCUCUUCACAGCAAUAGAAGAGUAACUAAGACCAUUACCAAUGUUACAUUUUUUUUUUUUUGGUCAAAGUCAGUAGUUCAUUGAAACUAUAUUUUAAACUGAAGUCCCAUAGAAAAUGGCAAAGUGAUGUCCAAUUUUCCCAUUCAUUUGCCCAUUUUCAAACCACAACACCAUUCUCUGUAAAAGGCAAAACUUAAAAGGAAAAAUAAAGACCAAAAACAAAGCAAACAAACAAGCAAACAAAACCAAAACAAAACAAAGCACUUAACUACAAAGAUUACAAGAGAUACACAAGCAGCUCUUGGAGAUGCCUUUCUAUCAAGCAUGGUUUCUAAAUCUCUCCAUGCAGGCUCCGUGGGAUAACUUCUUUCCAAAGAAUGCGGUAUGGAAGUAUAUGGAUCUUAUGGUAUAGAGAAAAGUAAGACAGAGAUCUUCCAGGUCAGCAUUAAAAUGACGAGUGUCACUUUAUGUCUAACGACAUAGGGAAAAGGAAAUUUCUCUGUGUGGCAUUCCUCCUAAUGUAGCCUAAUCAUGGAAAAAAGAAAAAAGGACACACGAGUGUUUGGAGGGAGGAAGGGAAUGGGAGCAGGAUGUCAUAUCGUAAAAUCUCAACAAUAAAAGAUAAAUGUUUUAAGAAGUCUUAGAAAACAAAGCACUUUUAAUGAUUCGAUAUAUAAAGAAUGUAAACUCUCCACUCAUAAUUGAUUGCAUGGCAAUGUGAUAUUUAAGGUAUAACUAUAUAUGCUUUCCGGAAUAGUGGUUUCAUAAAGUAUUUAAAAGGUUAAACAACUGGUCAUUUUUGUUUCUCCCCUGGAGAGCUGUCUGUCGGCAUCAUGAGGUCACUGCUGAGUCAGCUUUGCCCUUUGCUGGUAAGCAUUUUAGCUCUUUACAUACUCUCAGUAAAGGUUUGGCUGUGUGAGGUAGGGCUGGCAAAGACUCUCUCCCAAUCUGUAGGCUCGUUUCUCUCUAGUGGGUUUCCUUUUCUGGAAGAUUUUUUUUUUUUUAAUAAUUGCAGUUCCAUUAGUUGACUCUUAUUCAGAACGUCAUUGCCUUCGCCUGAGAAGUCUUUGACUUUUCCCACCAGCAGUCUGAGCACUUCGUGGUUUAAAUCUUUCACUUAGAAUUGUUUUUAGUGCCGGGUGAACGGUAUGGUCCUCCUUGAAUCCUUCUGAUCAAUAUGCAGCUUUGUCAGCACAGUUCAUUACCUUUUCCAGUGCGGGCCUUUGACACCACUGUCAAAAAUUAGAUGCUAUAGGUGUGCGAGUCUAUGUCUGGGUCCGAUAUUAUGUUUCAUUUGGACUGCAGGUCUGGUUUUGUACCUGUAACAUGCUGUGUUUUUCAGUGUGGCUCUAUAGGACAUUUUCAAGUUAAUUAUUUUGAUCGUAUUUCUGUAUCUUUUGAAAUUCGUGGCGUCUUUUAUCAUUAAUUGUUGUUACAUGUAUAUAUGUAUAUUUAUAUUUAUUAAUAAAUACAACCUGCUUAGAUUGAACAAUGCUACUUGUAAAUAUGUUUUCAUGGCUGAAUACUUGGUAUUGGAUAAUUUGAUGACUAUUCUUGCUUAUCAAUUUGAUUACAUCUGAAAUUAAAACUGAACAGCUGGGCACACUUGUGAGGGAUUUUUUUUUUUUCUUUAGCUAAAUCAUUUGAAGUGGAAGACCGUCUUCUACUCUGGAUCUUUGAGAUGCGAAGAUCCACCUUUAAUCAGGUCCACUUCUGCUGGUGGCCCCUAGUAGGAAACUUGUUUUUUCCCUUUGCCUGUUUGUUCUUGCUUUCACUAGCAAGUCCAUUCCUUUACUGGUAUUUGAGUCUCCUUCUUGGGGAGUCCAGUGUAUACUGAAAACCAGCUGAGACAAUAACCAGUUGGUGUGCCAUUCCAUGGAGAGGACUAUUCCUCCACUCUCAGCAUUCCUAGUUGACCAUAGUUUUCUGUGUAGAGUUGAGGCCUAGUGGUCUUUACACAUGUCCACGGGUGUCAUCUCUGUUCAGGUCAUGUUUAGGCAGACAUGUUGGUAAGACUUUAUAGAUGUAGUUUCUGAAAUCACUAGGAAACUCAGUUUUACAAAGAACUCCCCAAUCCUCUAACCCUUACAUCUACCCACCUCAACUACAAUGUUUCCUGAGGCUUACGUAUGGGAGUUGUUUUGUAAAUAUGUCCACUGGGAUUGGGCUUCGCAACUCUGCAUUCUGAUUGGUUGUGGCUUUCUGUAACUGUCACUAUUUUUUGCAAAAAGAAAUUUUCUUGAUGAGAGAUGAGCACUAUACUUAUUUGUGGGUAUAAGGACCAAUAUUGAGAAUGUAGUUAUGGAUUGUGCUGGUU